GGUUAAGCGACUACGCGUACACGGUGGAUGCCCUGGCAGUCAGAGGCGAUGAAGGACGUGCUAAUCUGCGAUAAGCGUCGGUAAGGUGAUAUGAACCGUUAUAACCGGCGAUUUCCGAAUGGGGAAACCCAGUGUGUUUCGACACACUAUCAUUAACUGAAUCCAUAGGUUAAUGAGGCGAACCGGGGGAACUGAAACAUCUAAGUACCCCGAGGAAAAGAAAUCAACCGAGAUUCCCCCAGUAGCGGCGAGCGAACGGGGAGCAGCCCAGAGCCUGAAUCAGUGUGUGUGUUAGUGGAAGCGUCUGGAAAGGCGCGCGAUACAGGGUGACAGCCCCGUACACAAAAAUGCACAUGCUGUGAGCUCGAUGAGUAGGGCGGGACACGUGGUAUCCUGUCUGAAUAUGGGGGGACCAUCCUCCAAGGCUAAAUACUCCUGACUGACCGAUAGUGAACCAGUACCGUGAGGGAAAGGCGAAAAGAACCCCGGCGAGGGGAGUGAAAAAGAACCUGAAACCGUGUACGUACAAGCAGUGGGAGCACGCUUAGGCGUGUGACUGCGUACCUUUUGUAUAAUGGGUCAGCGACUUAUAUUCUGUAGCAAGGUUAACCGAAUAGGGGAGCCGAAGGGAAACCGAGUCUUAACUGGGCGUUAAGUUGCAGGGUAUAGACCCGAAACCCGGUGAUCUAGCCAUGGGCAGGUUGAAGGUUGGGUAACACUAACUGGAGGACCGAACCGACUAAUGUUGAAAAAUUAGCGGAUGACUUGUGGCUGGGGGUGAAAGGCCAAUCAAACCGGGAGAUAGCUGGUUCUCCCCGAAAGCUAUUUAGGUAGCGCCUCGUGAAUUCAUCUCCGGGGGUAGAGCACUGUUUCGGCAAGGGGGUCAUCCCGACUUACCAACCCGAUGCAAACUGCGAAUACCGGAGAAUGUUAUCACGGGAGGCACACGGCGGGUGCUAACGUCCGUCGUGAAGAGGGAAACAACCCAGACCGCCAGCUAAGGUCCCAAAGUCAUGGUUAAGUGGGAAACGAUGUGGGAAGGCCCAGACAGCCAGGAUGUUGGCUUAGAAGCAGCCAUCAUUUAAAGAAAGCGUAAUAGCUCACUGGUCGAGUCGGCCUGCGCGGAAGAUGUAACGGGGCUAAACCAUGCACCGAAGCUGCGGCAGCGACGCUGAUGCGUUGUUGGGUAGGGGAGCGUUCUGUAAGCCUGCGAAGGUGUGCUGUGAGGCAUGCUGGAGGUAUCAGAAGUGCGAAUGCUGACAUAAGUAACGAUAAAGCGGGUGAAAAGCCCGCUCGCCGGAAGACCAAGGGUUCCUGUCCAACGUUAAUCGGGGCAGGGUGAGUCGACCCCUAAGGCGAGGCCGAAAGGCGUAGUCGAUGGGAAACAGGUUAAUAUUCCUGUACUUGGUGUUACUGCGAAGGGGGGACGGAGAAGGCUAUGUUGGCCGGGCGACGGUUGUCCCGGUUUAAGCGUGUAGGCUGGUUUUCCAGGCAAAUCCGGAAAAUCAAGGCUGAGGCGUGAUGACGAGGCACUACGGUGCUGAAGCAACAAAUGCCCUGCUUCCAGGAAAAGCCUCUAAGCAUCAGGUAACAUCAAAUCGUACCCCAAACCGACACAGGUGGUCAGGUAGAGAAUACCAAGGCGCUUGAGAGAACUCGGGUGAAGGAACUAGGCAAAAUGGUGCCGUAACUUCGGGAGAAGGCACGCUGAUAUGUAGGUGAAGUCCCUUGCGGAUGGAGCUGAAAUCAGUCGAAGAUACCAGCUGGCUGCAACUGUUUAUUAAAAACACAGCACUGUGCAAACACGAAAGUGGACGUAUACGGUGUGACGCCUGCCCGGUGCCGGAAGGUUAAUUGAUGGGGUCAGCGCAAGCGAAGCUCUUGAUCGAAGCCCCGGUAAACGGCGGCCGUAACUAUAACGGUCCUAAGGUAGCGAAAUUCCUUGUCGGGUAAGUUCCGACCUGCACGAAUGGCGUAAUGAUGGCCAGGCUGUCUCCACCCGAGACUCAGUGAAAUUGAACUCGCUGUGAAGAUGCAGUGUACCCGCGGCAAGACGGAAAGACCCCGUGAACCUUUACUAUAGCUUGACACUGAACAUUGAGCCUUGAUGUGUAGGAUAGGUGGGAGGCUUGGAAGUGUGGACGCCAGUCUGCAUGGAGCCGACCUUGAAAUACCACCCUUUAAUGUUUGAUGUUCUAACGUUGACCCGUAAUCCGGGUUGCGGACAGUGUCUGGUGGGUAGUUUGACUGGGGCGGUCUCCUCCUAAAGAGUAACGGAGGAGCACGAAGGUUGGCUAAUCCUGGUCGGACAUCAGGAGGUUAGUGCAAUGGCAUAAGCCAGCUUGACUGCGAGCGUGACGGCGCGAGCAGGUGCGAAAGCAGGUCAUAGUGAUCCGGUGGUUCUGAAUGGAAGGGCCAUCGCUCAACGGAUAAAAGGUACUCCGGGGAUAACAGGCUGAUACCGCCCAAGAGUUCAUAUCGACGGCGGUGUUUGGCACCUCGAUGUCGGCUCAUCACAUCCUGGGGCUGAAGUAGGUCCCAAGGGUAUGGCUGUUCGCCAUUUAAAGUGGUACGCGAGCUGGGUUUAGAACGUCGUGAGACAGUUCGGUCCCUAUCUGCCGUGGGCGCUGGAGAACUGAGGGGGGCUGCUCCUAGUACGAGAGGACCGGAGUGGACGCAUCACUGGUGUUCGGGUUGUCAUGCCAAUGGCACUGCCCGGUAGCUAAAUGCGGAAGAGAUAAGUGCUGAAAGCAUCUAAGCACGAAACUUGCCCCGAGAUGAGUUCUCCCUGACCCUUUAAGGGUCCUGAAGGAACGUUGAAGACGACGACGUUGAUAGGCCGGGUGUGUAAGCGCAGCGAUGCGUUGAGCUAACCGGUACUAAUGAACCGUGAGGCUUAACCUU
rnacentral:rRNA from 1 species